rnacentral:lncRNA from 1 species
GCAAACUCCUCACACCAAGAUGUCGGAGCAAAGCUUCAAUCCUCCUGUCAAAUACUGACUUUCACUUUCUGGGUUCUCUUGCACUGGGCAACAUGGUAUUUUAAGAAAGAUCGCUCCACUUCUGGUUUUCACUUCAUUAUGCAACUAGCUCUACUCAGAGAACCACUCCUGAACUCGCUUCUGUGAGCGCACAGAGUGGAAACACGCUGAACUCCUGAACUCGCUUCUGGGAGCGCACAGUGUGGAUACACGCUGAACUCCUGAACUCGCUUCUGGGAGCGCACAGUGUGGAUACAUGCUGCUUUGACAGUCUGGGCUGACCUGGCGUGUCUCCUGAGAUCUGCUCCUCAUCCAGCUGUUGGGGCAGGACUCCAUGCUGCUGUGGGUGUCCCUGCUGGUCCUUGGUGAGUAAUGAACAGGAGCCUGGCCUGAGCCUCCUCCCAAGCAAAGGGCCCCCUCUCCUGGCUAGUGAAAACUGCAGAAAAUGAGCAAAAAGGAAGGUAUUGAUUUAAUGCUAUGAGGGAAAUAAACAGAAAUUGAUAUCCAGAGAUGUGAUCUUCAUCCACUUUGGCUUUUAGUUGCCUGUGGGAAAUUCCUCCUCAUUUUUGUUUUCAAAUGAAAACAAACAAACAAACAAACAAACCACCCCAUGCAGCUCAUGAAAACUCAGAGAAAAAUACAAUCUGAGAUUCUAAGGACCAUAUAUAUCCUAAUUGUGAGCUGAGGCAAUUGAUGCUUUGCUGAGAAUAGCUAUUUCCUUCUCUGUAUCCUGCAAUCAAACCAUGAGAAGAGAAAAAAAUAAAAUGGUUUCCCUUGGACUGCCCUGACCCCUGCCCCUGCUUCUGUGUUAUUUGACAAUAUUUGUCCACAUGAGACACUGAAUUCCUAGUAAUUCACACUAGGGAAUUUAAAAAGUCAGUCUUGUGUAUUUGUUAAGUGUGUUUGUCUUGCUCCAACUUGGAUCCCCCGACUCUAACUUGGGGAAGAUUUAUUAUUAGUGUGAUAUGCACCUCAUGGGAUCAGCAAAUAAAGAAAUGAUGGGUGGUGUCAGCACAGCACAGAGUGGAGCACCUCAGAGAGUAGAGAGGCCUGGAGAUCACAGCCUCUGCCCUCAAGAGCUGACACUGAUUAGAACAUCAAAGUUCCAAUGCAAGAACCUUUGACCUGCCAAUGUCAGAGAAAUAUUACAUACUGGGUCACAGGAUGAUGGAUGAUGAUGACAAUUGCUUCUUGCUAACCCCUAUGUCUCAGACACCCUUCUGGGAAUAUCCCCAUGUUAUUAAUUUAUCCAAUUCUUUAACGAUCCAUAGCUUGGAACUAUUAUAACUCACAUUUACAAAUGAGGAAACUAAGGCACAGAAACUGUGGUCUCAAUACUAAGAUUCAUGAAGCUAGAAUUAGUGGUGGUGUCAGGAUUCAAACCCAUCAUCUGACUUCGGAGACUAUGCAUUUAACCGUCACCCCAUACUGUAUGUUCAGUUCUGAGCUUCAAUAAGCUUAUUGAUUGUCAGCGUCCUGAGUCAAGAGAAGAGAGAGCUUGCUUCAGCCUCGAAACACCUGAUAAGGCUUCAUGGAGGAGGGAAGGUUUCCUUUGGACCCUAAUGCGUGGAUGCGACUUGACUUAACUUGGUACUGAAGGAGAAGAAUACUCCAGGAGUCAAGAUCAGCAGUAGCCCCAUACUUAAAAAAAAAAAAUUGACAGCAACCAUUAAUUGAGGACUUACUAAUUCAAUUCAUUAUAAUAACACCACGAAGUCACUUUUAUGGUCCUCAUUUUUCAAAAGAGGAAACUGAGAUUUGGAAGUUUAUGUGGUUUGCCCAGGGUUUACAUGGCUAAAAUGGAAACCAGGUUGUCUGAGUCCAUAACGUGAGAUUUUGGCCACCAUGUUACGUGGAACUGCACGUGUUUCUCUUCCUCUUGUUUUGUAAUAGAAUGUGGCAUGCGGGUCCUCAGGGAGACAUGGUUGGGAACACCCUGCCUGUGCUGAUACCUGGCUUUUUACUCUCUUGCAGCUCCAGUCCAUGGACAAUUUGGUAAGUCCCCGGUUUCUUUUCUCUUUCCUAUCUCCAGAUAUUCUAAUAACUAGCCUCUAACUCUUGUAGAAGACCACAUUGUCUCCUUCCUUUCUUCUCUGAGCACUGCAGGGACAUAAAAAUACUAGUUGUUCUGGUGAUUCUGAGGCUAAGCAUUAGACUAUUUGGAAGUACCUUUCUCAAACCAAACCUGCCACCUGUUGGAUGAAUAUGGAGGGCUGGGACACGUGUCACCGGAGUUCACAGGAGGAGGAGGCAUCACCUCACCUGAUGUGGGAUUCUGGCCAGGGCUGAUGUUGGAAUGCAUAGAAUUUUGAGAGGGAAAGAUUUUUAAAAGCCAUUAUUACAAAGUGGGAGGCUGGAGCUCCAACUCUGUCCCUACCCAUGUGUAACCAACUUUCUGUAGACACAUUUUUCUAGUAAUAGCUCAAAUCAUGAUAACUCUGAGCUCCCAUCCAUCUGCUAUUCAGCAGAAAGCCAAGACUGUCUUUCUUUCCUUUCUCUCUCUCUCUCUCUCUCUUUUUUCUUUCUUUUAUGCUGGGGAUUGAAUCCAGAGGUUUAUGAUUGUAGACAAAUGCUGUACCACUGAACUACAAUUUAGUCCUUAAUAUAUAUAUAUAUAUAUAUAUUUUUUUUUUCUUUUCUUUUCUUUUUUGAGACAGGGUCUAAGUUGCUGAGGCUGGCUUUGAACUGGCAAUCCUCCUGCCUCAGCCUCCUAAGUCACUGGGGUUACAGGUGUGCACCACCGCACCCUGAUAGAAAAUCCAGUUUUUAUGGGGAACUGUCUCACAAUUGUUUGACAACCACCGUGGGAUUCCUUCAAGUGUUCCAAGCACAUCCUGGGAAUCGCUGGUGGUUGUCCUGCUUGAGCCAGCAGGAGCCACAGCCCCCCAGGUAUACACUGUCUCUGUCGCUCUCCCUCACGAUGUCAUGGACACAAACCUUUUCCCUGUCAAAGUGAGACAGGAUUAUAACUCAGCAAGACCUUGCUAAUGGAUCUAGGAUGAGGAAAUAAACCAGAAGGUCUUAUGUCAGCCCCUGAGUGUGGUUAAUCUCAGGACCCAGUGCCAAACCUCACAAAGGCCCUGACGAGGGAUCUCCUCCUGGUCACCGGGCCACGGCACACCAGACGGGCAGUUUACCUCAACCAAAGAAGAAUCUAUUUGAACCCAUCAAAGGAGGGAAGGUCGUCCUUCCUUCCAGGAAAGGACCUGCUGCCCAAGUCCCCAUUCCCUUGCCCCAAGCUUCCUAGGAACAUGACCAGUGUCCCAUAGAAAUAGAACAUUUCUAUUCCCUUCAGGAGAAACACAACACAUUCCCAUUGAGCACACAGGGCACUCUGUCCAAAUAUUUAAGAGAAAACAUUUUAUCAUUUUUUUAUCAGUGCAUCAUAGUGGAAUUCAUUAUGGCGCAUUUGUAUGUAUAUUACAUAAUUUGAUCAACUUCAGUCCGUGGUACCUUACCUUUAGAGAAUUUUUUCUUUUUUGUACCAGGGCAUGAACCUUGGGGAACUUAACCACUGAGCUACAAUCCCAGCCCUUUUAUUUUAUUUUAUGAUUUUGAAAUAGGGCCUCACUGAGUUGCUGAGGCUGGUUUUGAACUCUAUCUCUUCCUGCCUCAGCCUCCUGGGAUUACAAGAGUGUGCCACUAUGUCUGGCUUAGAAAUAUUUUUUUUCAAAGUCUGCAAAAACUCUCAAAUGUUUCACAUUACCAAACAGAAACAUUUAGCCUCUUCAUCUAAAACAUGCAUUCAAGUGACCUUACAGGUUAUUUCCCCCCUAAACAGAAGAAAGUCCUUUUCGUUACAUUUGGAUAUCAUUAAAAGACCUAUUUGGGAUGUUCUUCUAGGAAAAAAAAAAGUUAAUAAUACUUAAUAUCUCAAGCUUUAAAAAAGCAAUUGCUUAUAAGCCCUUAACUCUAGACACUUCCCCCUUAUCUGAGCAUGAAAAGGUAACAAGACGAAAAUCCAUGUAAAGCGAUUCCACUGCAAAUUGAACAGUAAUUAACGGCACCCCAAAAUUGAGAUUUUUUUUUAUUUUUGAAAAACAAAAUAAUCCAACUAUAAUUUGUUUUAUUUUCUACUUCACAGAAGUUAGACUAUGACAGGUCCUAUGUAGAGUGAAGCAUGGACCUAGUAUUGGGUUUUCAAAUGUGGCAUUGUGGCUGUGUUGGAGACAGGAAGGGGUGAGAGGCAGCAGAGGGACUGAAGCUGUCAGAGGAUUCCCACGUGCCUCCCUACCUUCAGCAUAAAGGCAGACUUUCCCCGGAACCCACAGUCCCUGGUGUCCUUUAGUUUUAUUCCUCUGACAGCUUUCCCCCCAGACCUGGAUGGAGUAGCGAGGAAAGCCAGCUGCUUCACUUUUCCAAGCCCACGGGUGGGCAGCAGUCUAGAGGGGGCAUCGGGACCCAUCCCCAGGAACCAGACCACUGCUUUCCUUGUGAUGCAUUUCUCCUUUUUCAUUGUUAACAGAUCUGCUUUUCACCUCUGUGUUGCCAGCCAUCAGAACAAGCGGUUCCACAUAACUUUUCCAACUUCAUGAAAUACUGCAUCUUAGGCACAAUCUGCAAUAGCGAUCCAUUUUCACUUUAUACCCAUUGAAAGAUUAGCUUACCAAGCCACUCAGCUUUAAGCAAGCCAGAGAAUAGCAUUACAUCUGGAAGGAUGUUUCUAUUAAUGGAUAAUUUUGUUGUUAGCUUCACCACCUCAAAACUACAGGACUCAGAAAAUAAACAUUCAGUUUCAAAAAAAAAACAGGAAGCCUCAAUAAUAAUUUCUUGUCAGGGAAUUAGCAUUAAAAAUAAAAUCUCCUCCCAACCAAGAAAUCUUCUCUAUAAGUGGUAAUAGAUAAAGGAAAACACUUUAUUAUUGAAUAAGUGUUAAGCCAGAAUGGAAUGCACCUCAUAGGAAAACCACUAAAAGAGCAAAGACAGAAAGGAAUUAUCUGUUUAGUCAAGCAGAUAAUCCAAACAUAUGUGUUUUCAACAUAAAUAAUAAUUGGUCUUCCAAUAAAAUAACCUGACACGUAGUUUAUCUUAACUAUGAUAAAUGGGAGGACCACCUGUGUUAGUGGAUUGCUUUUUAUCAUAGGAGAAACAAACUUCUCACAUUUUUAUAACAACAGGUAGUUUUGCAUGUUGGAGUCGGGGGAGCCCAGCAAAGUUAGACUCAGCCUCCUACAGAAACCAGGAGACAGAGGAUCAUCUUUCCAUAUGCCCAUCUUCCCCAAACCAAAAAGAUAGCAUGUCAAGUUCAUGACCCCGUUGUGUCAGGGUAGCAGGGCAGGUUGUGAAAAGGCCAAAGAAGAUGUCCAGAGAUGGCAUGUGAGACUUAUGAUCAGUGACAGUUCAGGAGGCUGAGGCAGCAGCCUUGCAAGUUUGAGGCCGGCCUCCGCAAGUAGUGAGAUCCCAUCUCAAAGUAAAAAAUAAAAAGGGCUGUGGAUUAAUUCAGUGGUAAAUCACCCUGGGUUUAAUUACCAGUAUCAGGGGUUGGGGGGCAGGGAUAAGUGACUGCUCCAAGAAGAGUUCAGUGGUGAUAGGCUGAACAGACAGCCCCUCCCUCAAGCAAGCGCCUCCUUCAUCUCUCCCUCUUGCUGUUUUGUCCAGUGGUGCCUGGCUCGGGAAUGAUCUGUAUUCUUUCCACGGGGCUCUCGGUUCCACAACUGUCCCUACUCAGAGGGAGGUUUUAUACAUCAGGUUGCAGCAGCAGUGACAUCAGCGGCUUUAGUUUGCCUGUAUGAGCAGCAUAUCAAGGAGCAACUUUCCCAGCAUAUACGGAAGAAAGGAGCUUUUGACAGAUGGCACUAAAUUUCCCUGGUUUCCAGUGUGCUUAAGAGAAAGCCAGGUCCUCUAAGAUCGUAGGUAUCUGCACUUUGCAGCCCAAGGGUGUUAGUGCUCCCUUGACUUGGCUGAGCUUUUGGAAAAAGAAGGGGGCAUCUGGGGAUGAUGUUUUACUGUCCCCCACCUUUUUUUUUUAAGGAUAACACAUGGCACCCAGGACUUUCCUGGGUUUGGAGACUGGCCAGACUCUUGUUUAGCCAUUAUAAAAUUUAUAAACUUUUAAAAGGGACAGAAAAAGAAAUUCUGAAAGAAAACAGAAAUCUCUUCCCUUAUUUUCCACAGGGAGCUAAUGCUAAUGCUUUUUUUUUUUUUCUAACUUGUUUUUGCCCUGGAUUCUCCAGCUCUGUCCAUCCAUGUUUCAAAGAUCUCAGGGUCCAGUUUCAUGCAAGGUCAAUAUUUUCUCGCCCUGAGAGUGUCUUUGAGGUUUAGAGUGUUGGGAGCACCUGUCUCCUUGCAGUCUUACCCUUUGUAGCUGUAUAGACAUACUUCACACCUCAGACAGCAGCCUGCUCCCCUCUCCCACACCUGCUUCUCAUUGAUAUUAUUACUUGAGUCCUAGGCCAGAGGCCUGACUCGGGAGACCCCCAAAAUGAGGUCCAACCACUCACCCUAAAAACAAAUAGAAAAGGAAAUGAUAGAAAGCAUGAAAGGAAUUUUAAUCAGUGUAGCUGUGCUGGGAAGAGAAGUGGUCCAUCCCUUUAGCCCCAUCUUCAAGAGACUGACAAUGACUUUGAGGGUUUUUUUUUUAAGAAGAGAAUGAGAGGCUGGGGCUGUAGCUCAGUGGCAGAGCAUUUACCUAGUACCUGUGAGGCACUGGGUUUGAUCCUCAGCACCACAUAAAGUAA